rnacentral:rRNA from 1 species
GAUGAACGCUAGCGGCAGGCCUAACACAUGCAAGUCGAGGGGUAGCAGGAUUAAGCUUGCUUAAUUGCUGACGACCGGCGCACGGGUGCGUAACGCGUAUGCAACCUACCUUAUACUGGGGUAUAGCCCGGAGAAAUUCGGAUUAAUCCCCCAUAGUACUAAUGAAUCGCAUGGUUUAUUAGUUAAAGCAUUGCGGUAUAAGAUGGGCAUGCGUCCUAUUAGCUUGUUGGCGGGGUAACGGCCCACCAAGGCAACGAUCAGUAGGGGUUCUGAGAGGAAGGUCCCCCACAUUGGAACUGAGACACGGUCCAAACUCCUACGGGAGGCAGCAGUGAGGAAUAUUGGUCAAUGGGCGGAAGCCUGAACCAGCCAAGUAGCGUGCAGGAUGACGGCCCUAUGGGUUGUAAACUGCUUUUAUACAGGAAUAAAGUUAGCCACGUGUGGUUAUUUGUAGGUACUGUAUGAAUAAGGACCGGCUAAUUCCGUGCCAGCCGCCGCAGUAA